CGUAGCUCAGUUGGCAGAGCAUUGGGCUAGUAUUCCAAAGGUCGUAGGUUCGAAUUGUAUAUUAUAA